CCUACGGGUGGCAGCAGUGGGGGAUAUUGGGCAAUGGAGGCAACUCUGACCCAGCAAUGCCGCGUGAGUGAUGAAGGUAAUUUUAUUGUAAAGCUCUUUUCUUUGGAACGAAUAAAUGACGGUACCAAAGGAAUAAGCCCCGGCUAACUACGUGCCAGCAGCCGCGGUAAUACGUAGGGGGCAGGGGUUGUUCGGAAUGACUGGGCGUAAAGGGGGUGUAGGGGGUAUGAUAAGUUAGAUGUUGAAUACCCAGGGCUUAACUCGGGUGUUGCAGCUAAAACUGUUAGACUUGAGUACUGGAGAGGAGAGUGGAAUUCCUAGUGUAGCGGUGGAAUGCGUAGAUAUUAGGAGGAACACCAGUUGCGAAGGCGACUAUCUGGACAGCAACUGACACUGAGGCACGAAAGCGUGGGGAGCAAACAGGAUUAGAUACCCGAGUAGUC
rnacentral:rRNA from 1 species